AGAGUUUGAUCCUGGCUCAGAACGAACGCUGGCGGUAUGCCUAACACAUGCAAGUCGAACGCGAACGGAAUCUUCGGAUUCCAAGUAGAGUGGCGCACGGGUGAGUAACACGUGGAUAACCUGCCCUAGAGUCUGGGAUAACACUUCGAAAGGGGUGCUAAUACCGGAUAAGCCCACACAACCUUCGGGGCGAGUGGGAAAAGAUUUAUUGCUCUAGGAUGGGUCCGCGGUCCAUUAGCUAGUUGGUGGGGUAAUGGCCUACCAAGGCUGCGAUGGAUAGCUGGUCUGAGAGGAUGAUCAGCCACACUGGAACUGAGACACGGUCCAGACUCCUACGGGAGGCAGCAGUGGGGAAUUUUGCGCAAUGGGGGAAACCCUGACGCAGCAAUACCGCGUGAAGGAUGAAGGCCCUUGGGUCGUAAACUUCUGUCAGAGGGGAAGAAAUACUCGCAAGAGUGAUGACGGUACCCUCAAAGGAAGCACCGGCUAACUCCGUGCCAGCAGCCGCGGUAAUACGGAGGGUGCAAGCGUUGUUCGGAAUUAUUGGGCGUAAAGAGCAUGUAGGCGGUUUGUUAAGUCUGGUGUGAAAGCCCGGGGCUCAACCCCGGAAGUGCAUUGGAUACUGGCAGACUUGAGUAUGGGAGAGGAAAGUGGA
rnacentral:rRNA from 1 species